AGCCGAAGGCAGCCGGAGCGCCGGUUCCAGGCAGGAAUCAUUCUUUUCUUCCCUCCAGGGAGGACGGAGCGAGGUUUCACUCUGCACCCAGGUUAUUAAUGUGAAAGGAGGCCUGGUUGCUGCUGCUCUACAUCUAAAUAAGCCAUCACUCAUGUCUGUGAGAGCGGCCAUUUCUGAGCGACAGGCGACUGAACGAUGUUUUACUACAGAGACACACUGACCAGAUGGAUGUUCAUUACCGAAGUCCCAUUCUGAUCCCAGCGGUCCAAGCGAGACUUUUUAGAGAUGAUCAGGAAUUUCACAAAACACUACAACUCCAGAAACCUGUUGUUGGUCUUCUGUGGGAAUUUUAUCAGCCACAACAAACUGUUCAGUUUGGAAAAGGGAAGUUUUUCCUGCAUGCAACAGCAUUGUGUCAAUACAACAAACCUGGCCUUUA